rnacentral:rRNA from 1 species
AUCAUCUGCCCUAGAGUGGGGAAUAACCAGCCUUUAACCUUGGCUAAUACCGCAUAAUCCCGAGAGGGGAAAGCCGAAAGGCGCUCAAGGAGGAGUCCGCGGUCGAUUANCUAGUUGGUAGGGUAAAGGCCUACCAAGGCAACGAUCGAUAGCCGGCCUGAGAGGGCACACGGCCACACUGGCACUGAAACACGGGCCAGACUCCUACGGGAGGCAGCAGUGGGGAAUCUUGCACAAUGGAGGAAACUCUGAUGCAGCGACGCCGCGUGAGCGAUGAAGCCCUUCGGGGUGUAAAGCUCUUUCGUCAGGGAAGAUAGUGACGGUACCUGGAGAAGCAGCUGCNGCUAACUACGUGCCAGCAGCCGCGGUAAUACGUAGACAGCAAGCGUUGUUCGGAGUUACUGGGCGUAAAGGGUGUGUAGGCGGCCUUCUAAGUUUGGUGUGAAAUCUCCCGGCUCAACCGGGAGGGUGCGCCGAAGACUGGGGGGCUAGAGUAUGGGAUGGGAAAGUGGAAUUCCUGGNGUGGCCGGUGAAAUGCGUUAUAUAUCCANGAGGAACACCUGCGGUGNANACGGGCUUUUCUGGACCAUAACUGACGCUGAUACACCGAAAGCGUGGGUUAGCAAACAGGAAUUAAAUACCCUGGUAGUCCAACUCCCCUAAACGAUGCAUAUUUUGGUUGUGGGCCAUUCCUUUUGGUCC